UGGCGAACGGGUGAGUAACGCGUGAGGAACCUGCCUCAAAGAGGGGGACAACAGUUGGAAACGACUGCUAAUACCGCAUAAGCCCACGGGCCGGCAUCGACCAGAGGGAAAAGGAGCAAUCCGCUUUGAGAUGGCCUCGCGUCCGAUUAGCUAGUUGGUGAGGUAACGGCCCACCAAGGCGACGAUCGGUAGCCGGACUGAGAGGUUGAACGGCCACAUUGGGACUGAGACACGGCCCAG
rnacentral:rRNA from 1 species